rnacentral:tRNA from 1 species
GGAGAGAUGGCCGAGUGGACGAAGGCGCGCGACUCGAAAUCGCGUAUUCCGAAAGGAAUCGGGGGUUCAAAUCCCUCUCUCUCCG